ensembl:lncRNA
GCAGCAGCCAGUCUCUCCUCUGGCUACCAUCCCCAGACGAAUGGCCAGACAGAGCGGGCUAAUCAGGAUCUGGAAGCAGCACUAUGCUGUGCGACCGCUCAUCACCCUGUCUCCUGGAGCUCUUUCCUGCCCUGAAUUGACCCAGGAGGAGGAGGUGGCAGUCUCUUCAGUAGACGAGCAUCUUCGGAGGAUUCGGGAAGUUUGGAGUAAUGUGAAGGCGGCACUCACUCGCUCUGCCGAGAACAACAAACUGCUGGCAGACCGACAUCGCUCCCCCGCCCCUGAGUAUGAGGUCGGCCAGAAGGUGUGGCUAUCUUCCCGGGACCUUCCACUUCAAACGGAGUCACAUUUUCGUUUGUUGACCACAAGACGUUGUCCCCGGUUCUGCUUUUGGAUCCUGUCCUCAUCCACCCUUACAAACGGAAC